CCUACGGGGGGCUGCAGUGGGGAAUUUUGGACAAUGGGCGCAAGCCUGAUCCAGCCAUUCCGCGUGAGUGAAGAAGGCCUUCGGGUUGUAAAGCCCUUUCGCAAGGGAAGAAAACUUAUCCUCUAACAUAGGAUGAGGUUGACGGUACCUUGAUAAGAAGCACCGGCUAACUACGUGCCGGCAGCCGCGGUAGUACGUAGGGUGCGAGCGUUCAUCGGAAUUACGGGGGGUGUUUUGUGAGUCAGAUGUUAAAUCCCCGAGCUCAACUUGGGAACUGCGGUUGAAACUACAAGACUAGAAUAGGUCAGAGGGGAGUAGAAUUCCACGUGUAGCAGUGAAAUGCGUAGAGAUGUGGAGGAAUAUCAAUGGCGAAGGCAGCCCCCUGGGAUCAUAUUGACGCUCAUGCACGAAAGCGUGGGGAGCAAACAGGAUUAGAUACCCCUGUAGUC
rnacentral:rRNA from 1 species